UCGGGAAUAUUGCGCAAUGGAGGAAACUCUGACGCAGUGACGCCGCGUAUAGGAAGAAGGUUUUAGGAUUGUAAACUAUUGUAGACAGGGAAGAAAAAAGACAGUACCUGAAAAGUAAGCUCCGGCUAACUACGUGCCAGCAGCCGCGGUAAUACGUAGGGAGCGAGCGUUAUCCGGAAUUAUUGGGUGUAAAGGGUGCGUAGACGGUCGAUUAAGUUAGUUGUGAAAUCCCUCGGCUCAACUGAGGAACUGCAACUAAAACUGAUUAACUAGAGUGCAGGAGGGGAAAGCGGAAUUCCUAGUGUAGCGGUGAAAUGCGUAGAUAUUAGGAGGAACACCAGUGGCGAAGGCGGCUUUCUGGACUGCAACUGACGUUGAGGCACGAAAGUGUGGGGAGCAAACA
rnacentral:rRNA from 1 species